rnacentral:rRNA from 1 species
CUCGUCAGAAUGACGCUGGCGGCGUGCCUAAUACAUGCAAGUCGAGCGAACGGACGAGAAGCUUGCUUCUCUGAUGUUAGCGGCGGACGGGUGAGUAACACGUGGAUAACCUACCUAUAAGACUGGGAUAACUUCGGGAAACCGGAGCUAAUACCGGAUAAUAUUUUGAACCGCAUGGUUCAAAAGUGAAAGACGGUCUUGCUGUCACUUAUAGAUGGAUCCGCGCUGCAUUAGCUAGUUGGUAAGGUAACGGCUUACCAAGGCAACGAUGCAUAGCCGACCUGAGAGGGUGAUCGGCCACACUGGAACUGAGACACGGUCCAGACUCCUACGGGAGGCAGCAGUAGGGAAUCUUCCGCAAUGGGCGAAAGCCUGACGGAGCAACGCCGCGUGAGUGAUGAAGGUCUUCGGAUCGUAAAACUCUGUUAUUAGGGAAGAACAUAUGUGUAAGUAACUGUGCACAUCUUGACGGUACCUAAUCAGAAAGCCACGGCUAACUACGUGCCAGCAGCCGCGGUAAUACGUAGGUGGCAAGCGUUAUCCGGAAUUAUUGGGCGUAAAGCGCGCGUAGGCGGUUUUUUAAGUCUGAUGUGAAAGCCCACGGCUCAACCGUGGAGGGUCAUUGGAAACUGGAAAACUUGAGUGCAGAAGAGGAAAGUGGAAUUCCAUGUGUAGCGGUGAAAUGCGCAGAGAUAUGGAGGAACACCAGUGGCGAAGGCGACUUUCUGGUCUGUAACUGACGCUGAUGUGCGAAAGCGUGGGGAUCAAACAGGAUUAGAUACCCUGGUAGUCCACGCCGUAAACGAUGAGUGCUAAGUGUUAGGGGGUUUCCGCCCCUUAGUGCUGCAGCUAACGCAUUAAGCACUCCGCCUGGGGAGUACGACCGCAAGGUUGAAACUCAAAGGAAUUGACGGGGACCCGCACAAGCGGUGGAGCAUGUGGUUUAAUUCGAAGCAACGCGAAGAACCUUACCAAAUCUUGACAUCCUUUGACAACUCUAGAGAUAGAGCCUUCCCCUUCGGGGGACAAAGUGACAGGUGGUGCAUGGUUGUCGUCAGCUCGUGUCGUGAGAUGUUGGGUUAAGUCCCGCAACGAGCGCAACCCUUAAGCUUAGUUGCCAUCAUUAAGUUGGGCACUCUAAGUUGACUGCCGGUGACAAACCGGAGGAAGGUGGGGAUGACGUCAAAUCAUCAUGCCCCUUAUGAUUUGGGCUACACACGUGCUACAAUGGACAAUACAAAGGGCAGCGAAACCGCGAGGUCAAGCAAAUCCCAUAAAGUUGUUCUCAGUUCGGAUUGUAGUCUGCAACUCGACUACAUGAAGCUGGAAUCGCUAGUAAUCGUAGAUCAGCAUGCUACGGUGAAUACGUUCCCGGGUCUUGUACACACCGCCCGUCACACCACGAGAGUUUGUAACACCCGAAGCCGGUGGAGUAACCUUUUAGGAGCUAGCCGUCGAAGGUGGGACAAAUGAUUGGGGUGAAGUC